UCACAAUCUCUUAGAGAUAACUCUAUCAAAGAGCAUAAACGAGUUAGAGAAGAGAACACCAAACCCCAAUGAGGAGGAUUAGAGAAGAGAUUUUUGCUAUUCGAUAGACGCAAAUAUUUAAGGCCAACCAGAUGUCCAAUUGAUGAAGGUAUUUCCUCGAUCGCACUACCACUUAAGGCAAUCGACUCCAAAUUCUUCUUCUGCUCCCCAAAUUCUAGAAUCUUUUUCAGAUUUUUGCAAUUAUCUAGAUGCAACUUCUGAAGGCCAACCAGAUGUCCAAAGGAUAAAGGUACUUCCUCGAUCGCACUACCAAUUAAGUCAAUGAACGCCAAAUUCUUCAUCUGCUCCCCAAAUUCUGGAAUCUUUUUCAGAUUUUUGCAAUUAUUUAGAUACAACUCCUUAAGGCCAACCAGAUGUCCAAUUGAUGAAGGUAUUUCCUCGAUCGCACUACCACUUAAGACAAUCGACUCCAAAUUCUUCAUCUGCUCCCCAAAUUCUGGAAUCUUUUCCAGAUUUUUGCAAUUAUCUAGAUGCAACUCAUAAAGGCUAACCAGAUGUCCAAUUGAUGAAGGUAUUUCCUCAAUCGCACUACCACUUAAGGCAAUCAACUCCAAAUUCUUCAUCUGCUCCCCAAAUUCUGGAAUCUUUUUCAGAUUUUUGCAAUUAUCUAGAUGCAACACCUUAAGGCCAACCAGAUGUCCAAUUGAUGAAGGUAUUUCCUCGAUCGCACUACCACUUAAGACAAUCAACUCCAAAUUCUUCAUCUGCUCCCCAAAUUCUGGAAUCUUUUUCAGAUUUUUGCAGUUAUCUAGAUGCAACACCUUAAGGCCAACCAGAUGUCCAAUUGAUUAAGGUAUUUCCUCGAUCGCACUACCAUUGAAGCUAAUCGACUCCAAAUUCUUCAUCUGCUCCCCAAAUUUUGGAAUCUUUUUCAGAUUUUUGCAAUUACGUAGAUGCAACACCUUAAGGCCAACCAGAUGUCCAAUUGAUGAAGGUAUUUCCUCGAUCGCACUACCACUGAAGCUAAUCGACUCCAAAUUCUUCAUCUGCUCCCCAAAUUCUGGAAUCUUUUUCAGAUUUUUGCAAUUAUCUAGAUAAAACUUCUGAAGGCCAACCAGAUGUCCAAUUGAUGAAGGUAUUUCCUCGAUCGCACUACUACGUAAGUCAAUCGACUCCAAAUUCUUCAUCUGCUCCCCAAAUUCUGGAAUCUUUUUCAGAUUUUUGCAAUAACGAAGAUGCAACACCUUGAGGCCAACCAGAUGUCCAAUUGAUGAAGGUAUUUCCUCGAUCGCACUACCACUGAAGCUAAUUGACUUCAAAUUCUUCAUAUGCUCCCCAAAUUCUGGAAUCUUUUUCAGAUUGUAGCAGUCAUCAAGAGAGAGAACCUCAAGGGAAUCCAUUUCAAACUCACUUGGGAGGCUCUUA
rnacentral:lncRNA from 1 species